rnacentral:rRNA from 1 species
GACGAACGCUGGCGGCGUGCUUAACACAUGCAAGUCGAACGAAGAGCGAUGGAAGCUUGCUUCUAUCAAUCUUAGUGGCGAACGGGUGAGUAACGCGUAAUCAACCUGCCCUUCAGAGGGGGACAACAGUUGGAAACGACUGAUAAUACCGCAUACGAUCUAAUCUCGGCAUCGAGGAUAGAUGAAAGGUGGCCUCUACAUGUAAGCUAUCACUGAAGGAGGGGAUUGCGUCUGAUUAGCUAGUUGGAGGGGUAACGGCCCACCAAGGCGAUGAUCAGUAGCCGGUCUGAGAGGAUGAACGGCCACAUUGGGACUGAGACACGGCCCAGACUCCUACGGGAGGCAGCAGUGGGGAAUCUUCCGCAAUGGACGAAAGUCUGACGGAGCAACGCCGCGUGAGUGAUGACGGCCUUCGGGUUGUAAAGCUCUGUUAAUCGGGACGAAAGGCCUUCUUGCGAAUAGUGAGAAGGAUUGACGGUACCGGAAUAGAAAGCCACGGCUAACUACGUG